AACGAACGCUGGCGGCGUGGAUAAGACAUGCAAGUCGAACGGAGGAUGUGUAGCUUGCUAUAACAUCCUUAGUGGCGCACGGGUGAGUAACGCGUGAGCAACCUGCCCAUAAGUUGGGGAUAGCCCUGGGAAACCGGGAUUAAUACCGAAUGUGGUAGCAAUACUAAAGCAGUAAUGCGCUUAUGGAGGGGCUCGCGUCCUAUUAGUUAGUUGGUGAGGUAACGGCUCACCAAGGCGAUGACGGGUAGCCGGUCUGAGAGGAUGUCCGGCCACACUGGAACUGAGACACGGUCCAGACACCUACGGGUGGCAGCAGUCGAGAAUCAUUCACAAUGGGGGCAACCCUGACGCAGCGACGCCGCGUGAGGGAUGAAGGCCUUCGGGUCGUAAACCUCUGUCAGGAGGGAAGAAGUGCAUUUGUGCUAAUCAGCGAAUGUUUGACGGUACCUCCAAAGGAAGCACCGGCUAACUCCGUGCCAGCCGCCGCCGUAAGAC
rnacentral:rRNA from 1 species